rnacentral:rRNA from 1 species
UACGUAGGGGGGCAAGCGUUGUCCGGAUUUAUUGGGCGUAAAGAGCGUGUAGGCGGCCUGGAAGGUCAGCUGUGAAAACUCGAGGCUCAACCUCGAGACGUCGGUUGAAACCACCUGGCUAGAGUCCGGAAGAGGAGAGUGGAAUUCCCGGUGUAGCGGUGAAAUGCGCAGAUAUCGGGAAGAACACCCGUGGCGAAGGCGGCUCUCUGGGACGGUACUGACGCUGAGACGCGAAAAGCGUGGGGAGCGAACAGG